UUUAGGAAGGCAAAUCAUAUCAACAAGGUAACUCUGCUUGAUCUCACAUUGCCUCAACUAUUUUUGUUUGAGAGAGAGAGAGAGAGAGACAGAUGAUCUUGCCUGGGAAAAAACACUAUUGGUGGUCUUUGGCUUUCAGGUGAGCAAUACCAGUACUUCAUAAAGGCUGCCUUUACAUUAAGGGAACUGAAAAGAUCCAAUUCAUACGUAAUCAUUUGACUGAAUCAGCACCGUUCCUGAAGGCUGAGCGAGUCAUCACUGAGGCAAUCUUUGAGGAGUAUGGAUAUAUAUGUUCACUGAAAUAGCACUGUUGCUGUGGUUGAGGCAGUGCAGAAGUAGGCAUCUGAAUAUGAAUAUUAGUGCAUGAAGUUAAUGUUAAAAGACUAAUUUGGGAGCUUUGGAUAUUUGUUCUCUGAUUUGGUGAAUAAUCCAGAAAAAUGUUAUUUUUAGGAUGUUGGUGUUCACUGGAUCUUCCUCCAUAAGAAAGCAGAAUACUGAUUACCAACAUGCAGUUGGAACUGAAAAAAGGAUGGCCUUUACCCCAAGUAACAUGGACGUCACUGUGGCCCUGGGACAGAUACCACAAACUGAAGGAUCAAGAAGACGGAGAUAAGCGCUGAUGCCACGCGCAGCUAUGUCUAACAUGUGCCCCUUAUAAGACUGCUGGUGACACAACACUCCCAAAAGGUAAUACCAAUCAAUUAAUAUUUCUAAUUAACUCCUUGUUACUGGAUAUAUUAAGUUUGCUAACCUUGCCUUCUUUUCAUCUCUUCUUUCUGUAACCGAACACACUUUGUUAUCCAUUUGUUUUGUCUGCUUGUUUUGUAUUUUUUGUAUUAUUUUUGUCUGUCUGUUUUGUAUGUUAUAUUAAGUAUAAAUGUUUCUCUUGUAUCUCCUGUCUCCCUUGCGCACAUUUUGUGUUCAAAAUAAUUCUUAUGGUGGAGUGUUACAAAGUUGAUGAAUGUUUAUGUUAAGUGUUUGUAGGUAUUUGUUAGCUGUUUCGAGCCACUUGACUUUAUUGUUUCUAAUUUGUGGGGUGAGAGCUGUUUUAGCAAGUUGUUAUUGGAGAAAGCAUGAAGUGUUUUGUGUGGGAUUGCUCAGCUUUUAUCUUCUUGUCUUCCAGUGAAGAUAAUCCUAUUUCUUCCUUCAGGGAGCAGUUGUUACAUAUGUUAACUUGUCGGAGAGUUAAUAUAGGUAUUUCUUGUAAGGGUGGAAAAAAAAAGAAGCCUUACCUGUCACAAAACUCUCUAAUACCUGCAUCUUGCACGCCACAUUCUCACCAUGUAUUCCUUCACUGCGACAGUCAUCUGUAGACUGAGUUGCCUUUUAAUGACAUCAUUAUACUUCCAUCCAUGGCGACCUCCGUGGAUAGAAUAUAUCUCUUCUACUUUGAACUUAAUUUAGUACGAUACGUAUAUAUUUGCACCAUUUUGUCAGAGAG